rnacentral:lncRNA from 1 species
UGUAAUGACAGUCACUAUAUUUCUUAGCUCCAUUCCAAAAUAUUAAUUGGGGAGCUGCUCAUUUAUAAUAGUGCCAAACUUCUGACAGACAGAAAUUAUAAAAGAGGCCCCAGAAAAGCAUCAGAAAAAAAGGGAAACUUUUAAACAGAAAUGGUAAUUUGAAAUACUGACCCUAGGUUUAAAAUUUAGAAAAGGACUGUUUUCUGGAGCAGUCAUCUGGACGGUCCAACAGCUCCCUCUACUCCUCCAAGAGGGAAACAUGAAACACAGCAGGGCUGUGUGGAAGUGUGAGCAGCCCAGGCUUGGGGACAGCCACGUGUUUCCUUGUUCCAGCCAGGAGCUCCAAAAUGGCCGACAGAAGCAACUGCGUGAUGUGCAGUCCCGCACAGCAGAGGCGUUCCCCGCGCCAGUAUCCUGCACAAGAGCCAGCGAAGAGAGGCGCGCGUGGAGUUAAAAUCCGGGGUAGCCCCCGGCUUCCCACUGAGCACCCACGACCAACAAUGCUCAGAAGUGGAAAGUGGACCAACUAAGAGGCAACCCUUCCUGCUGCCGCUUCCGCAGUCAGAAGGUGAAGACAGAGAGCAAACCUCCAGGAGAGGGCUCUGCUUCACUUUCUCCGGGACAUGGACGGGGCAGGUGACUGUUUCACGCUGUCAUGGGACACAUCAACUUCCAUCCCUGCUUUACCAUAUUAAAUGCCCCACAGUGGAGCUUACUUGAAGAAACUGAAAAUUUGAGCACAGCACCCAUCGGUCCUAUUAAAUAACAUAACUCACCUAAAGCAGAGAAUCCAUGGACGCAGUAGAAGUAAAUUGCUGACCCAGUUAAAAUCUACGGAGAAUGUGUCCUACAGCAUAUCCACGAAUAUACCCUCAAAAGGAAAGAGGUUAUGUCCAAGCGAAGAUGAGGAAUAUCUGAGGUGAAACU